GAUGAACGCUGGCGGCGUGCCUAAUACAUGCAAGUCGAGCGAACAGACGAUGAGCUUGCUCCUCUGACGUUAGCGGCGGACGGGUGAGUAACACGUGGAUAACCUACCUAUAAGACUGGGAUAACUUCGGGAAACCGGAUCUAAUACCGGAUAAUAUAUUGAACCGCAUGGUUCAAUAGUGAAAGACGGUUUUGCUGUCACUUAUAGCUGGAUCCGGGCGUCAUUAGGUAGUUGGUAAGGUAACGGCUUACCAAGGCAACGAUGCGUAGCCGACCUGAUGGGUGGAUAGGCACACUGGAAAGUGGGCACGGGCCCGAAUCCUAACGGGGGGAACCAGGGGGAAUACUGCACAAAGGGGGGAAGGCUUGACGGAGCAACGCGGGGGGAGGGAUGAAGGCCUCCGGUUCGAAAAACUUUGUUAUUAGGGAAAAAAAAAUGUGUAAGUAACCAUGCACGUCUUAAGGUACCCAAAUCAGAAAGCCCGGGUUACUUCGUU
rnacentral:rRNA from 1 species